rnacentral:lncRNA from 1 species
ACAAUAUUUUGUCCAAGAUGUUGGUUUUGAUAUUGUGUCAGUGCCAUAAGACAAAUUCUCAGCUUUACUGAAAACUUGGUGAUUCAAAUGUGGUUGUUUUUCAUACUCUUUUUUGAAGGCUCAUAUAGACUUUUAUAACUUUUCUAAAGCAUGAAAACAAAUUUGCUAAUAUAUUAUAAAGCUACACAAUAACUUCUAGCCAUAUCAAAUAUAAGACUAUUAAAACAUAAAGAACAUAAAUGUUUCAUCCUUGGCAAAUGAUGUUUAGAAAAUAUGUUGGCAGUAUUUUUACUAAUUAUAGCUAUAUCAUAAACAGGGUAGAUUUAUAUUUGGCAUUCAUCAUCAGUGAUAAUGUGUUAUAGAGUACAGUUUAAUGGGAUAUCUCAUAUUUCUUAAUUUUUUGAGAUGGAGUCUCGCUCUGUCA